UCCCACCCUUUCUGUUUCGGCAGCAGCCUCAUCAGAAUGCUCGGACGGCUAUGUGCAAUCGUCGCUUUUGUUUGUCCUCCUUCCUUUACUUCUGUAUUCUCUUUUGUAGAAACAGACGCUGUCCAGACAACCGAGCUUUUGUUCACCCAUACCGUUUCAACCACUGCAUUAUUCUUCGUCAUUGCGAAAAUGUAUUUACGUAGCAGUCCGCUAAAUAAGCAUUCAGUCAUCAGAAGCCAUCGCAUCGGAGGGCGACGAGGGCACUCUUGCAAUUUUUAAGGGCAACAGACUUGGACAAGUGGCUUUAGCCUGAACAGAUGUUUAUUGGUCUGCAAGUGCUACUGCGCUGUGCGGAACACAAGUAUGGAGUCAACAACGGCCACAAGCUCUGCUUCGAGUGCCAUGUGUACAGGACGCUGUAUCCUCAAUCAAAAUGGAUCGUUUUCUGGAUGUCCGGUUGACGGUAACUGCACGUGUACCGACGUUGACCGUACAAAUAGUUGGCCAAAGAACGGUACCUGCAGAGACAAGACUACCUUAUCUGGACAGCCACUGAAGUUCACAAUGCUGGAAGACAAAACCAAACAAUAAAGGUGGUUUUU